AAAAUGUAUUCUCAUUUAACAGCUGACUGCCUGAAAUGUAAUAUAUAUAUUACAUUUCAGGCAGUCAGCUGUUAAAUGAGAAUACAUUUUUUC